AGUGAACGCUGGCGGUAGGCCUAACACAUGCAAGUCGAACGGCAGCACAGUAAGAGCUUGCUCUUACGGGUGGCGAGUGGCGGACGGGUGAGGAAUACAUCGGAAUCUACUUUUUCGUGGGGGAUAACGUAGGGAAACUUACGCUAAUACCGCAUACGACCUACGGGUGAAAGCAGGGGAUCUUCGGACCUUGCGCGAUUGAAUGAGCCGAUGUCGGAUUAGCUAGUUGGCGGGGUAAAGGCCCACCAAGGCGACGAUCCGUAGCUGGUCUGAGAGGAUGAUCAGCCCCACUGGAACUGAGACACGGUCCAGACUCCUACGGGAGGCAGCAGUGGGGAAUAUUGGACAAUGGGCGCAAGCCUGCUCCAGCCAUACCGCGUGGGUGAAGCAGGCCUUCGGGUUGUAAAGCACUUUUGUUGGGAAAGAAAAGCAGCAGGUUAAUACCCCGCUGUUCUGACGGUACCCAAAGAAUAAGCACCGGCUAACUUCGUG
rnacentral:rRNA from 1 species